ACUGCUUGGACUGUAUCGCUUGUUUCUUUUUGUGACAUAUGCUGGCUUCCAUUAUUGAACUAUUGUCUGGUAUUGUGUUAGUUACUAUGUGCUUUAGGAUCAUACUGCCCAAUGGAAAUUAUAUUUGUAUGUUCUUAAUCAUGAUUGGCAUGAAUGCUUUUUCUGGAAAGUGAUCCUCUUAUUUCAAAGGUUGUAUUUGAAAUCUGUAAAAGAUGGUGCCCAUCCAUAUAAAAAUGAAGAGAUUAGGCCAGUGAAUGAAAGCCUCCUAAAUAUGGGAAAUAGAACAAUAUUAUGAGUUUCACGGGCCUAGUGGAUUUUAGUUUCAAGCAACUUCAUUGUAUAUGUUUUUUAGAUGAUGGAACCAUAAAAACUAAACUCUAUGAAUCGGUUACUUGUCGGAAUUUGGACAUAUAUAAUCAGUUUAUGUAGGCAGUUUAUUUGCUCACUUUUGUUUGUAGGAAAUCAAUAUUAAUCUCCAGGUUUUUCUUGAGUUUGUUUGUCCCUACAAUUAGUUCUAUAGUACAUUAUAGUUCUUCAAGAGACUCAAUUGGUUCUGCAAAUCCCCUAUCAUAAAUAUUCUGUAUUCUUGUUUCUGCAUGCUCAAAAGUGUGGCUGAUAGUCCAUCACUAAUCUGAUUAUAAUUAAUUAUAUGUCCA
rnacentral:misc_RNA from 1 species